rnacentral:ncRNA from 1 species
GAAUACGUUCCCGGGUCUUGUACACACCGCCCGUCACACCAUGGGAGUCAGUAACGCCCGAAGUCAGUGACCCAACCGUAAGGAGGGAGCUGCCGAAGGCGGGACCGAUAACUGGGGUGAAGUCGUAACAAGGUAGCCGUAUCGGAAGGUGCGGCUGGAUCACCUCCUUU